ensembl:lncRNA
AUGUCACGGAGAACCACUCCCCUUCAGGAUGCCAUUAAUCACAUCCUUGCAAGAAGAGACAAGAAUUCAAUGUUAGAAAUCAAAUUUAUUAAUUCAGUUAAAGGUCGUGGCAUCUUCACUUUAGCCAAUUUCAAACAAGGAGACUUUGUGGUCGAGUAUAGAGGGGAGCUUAUUGAUGCAACUGAAGCUGAACACAGACGUAACCUGUACCCCAGCGCAUGUUCAGUCUUCAUGUUUGAAUUCGUAUGGAAGCAGAAGACAUUGUGGUAAAUUCAAAAUGACUGAAUGUUUACAUUUCUAUUGCAAGGUCAGGAUUUCUGAAGCAAACAUCUCAUAUUGCUCUUUAACGAGUCCUUACCUCUAGUACCCGGCCCCGUCAGUCCCCAGAAUCUAUAGAAGGGGGAGUGACAGACCCGUGGAAUAGCGGGAUCUCAUUCUUACUAAGGCUCCGUCAUUUCCCGGUGACCCUGUGGUCCCCGGGAACUCGCGGUACUGGGGACUGACGGGACUCCCACAUAUGCUGAGGGCCCGUUAGUCCCCGUAUUCGCCACUCACGGGCGUAAUGUACGGGGUUAGAGGGGUAAUAAUAUAAGCCUACAUUUUACAGCUAAGACAGUGUGCUCACGCUGCUGUGAAGAUUUAAAAUAUAAUAUAGAGAUAGAGAAAAUAAUAAGAAAAUUCAAAUGGCCAGGGCUGAAUGAGCGGCCCUGUGUCUGUGCGCAUUUGGCACAUGUGGACACGGAGACUCGUGCACUGUUAUACUGUGUCCAAAACUACUGUAUAACAUGUACAAUGCCAAAAUAGUACAUGUCAAGUGUUCUCUGUCUGUGAGGUAGGUAGAUGGAUGGCUUGAUGGAUAGGUGAAAAACCUUUCAACACAAAAAAUAAAGAACAUUUCAUUAAUCAUUCAGAUAAAUUAAAUGCAUUAUACAGAAGACAAAUGAAAUAACAAAAAUAUACACUUCAGUAAAGCCACUUUUGUCUAAACUAUCAUUUAUCCUAGUUUUAGUUUUACAUUCAUUAGUUUUUAAAUCAGGUGAGUAAUUUCAAACAACGAAGAUGAAAUAAACUGGUCUACCUUGCAUUUUUUUACACUUUCUGUAACAAUUACAUUUUUAAAGUAUACAUUUUAGAGUUUACAAAUAUUUUAAUAAAGACUUUAACCAAGGAUUUUCUUUUACAAAGAAUUAUUUUCCUUAAAUUAAACCAAACAUAUUUACACUAGUUUUAAGAUUUAACCAAGGAUUUGGGGUAAUUACUUUUAGUAUUAAUUAACAUAAAUGUGUGGGAAACACUAUCUACAUAAACAAUUUAUUCAAACUUAAACAUUUAUUUUAAUAUCAAUAUAAUUUUUUAAACUUAAAUGCAGUAACUAUUUCCCAAAGCAUAAAUACAUUUCCACAAUUGAGCUUCCAUAGUUCCCAAACAUAUAAGCAGCAAAUAUGAGUCCGAGCUUACCGAUAGCCCGUCUAACUCAGUCUUCCUCACAGUGGAAAGUGGAUUGUGCUUGGUUUGCUGUCCUCUCAGUAUGUCGCACUCGAGUCAAAUGACUGCUGCAUGCAUUUUAAGGUCUACUAGGCACGCCCGCCCUUGAUUGCUCUAAUUCAACUCACCUGGCGGAGCAGUGCGCACCAGGCUGCGCUUAGCUGUAGAUUGCACAAGGUCUAAUCAGCGGCCACGCGCAGCAGCACAGAGCAGGUAGUGGGCAAGAGGAGGAAAAGAAGAGAAGAGAAGAGUAACAGCCACACCUACUAGGUCAGCGCGACAGUACAACAAAACCACGUUUAAGCUCUAAGCACAAGUAGAAGCGCAAACACUUAUCUCAGUCAGAAAGCAACGCGUCCUUGAUUGAUGGACCCUCUUUAACUUAUCAACUAUGCAUUUAACAACUAAACUUGUAUUGGAUGUUGUGUUUGUGUUGCUGCUUAAAAAUUAUAGUAUAGUUCAUAGGCGUGUCACUAUAAAUGUUUGUUUAAUGUAUGUUUCCAAAUUUGCAGUAUUGAUGGAGCACUUGAAGAUGGGUCAUUUGGGCGACUAGUAAACGAUGAACACAGGACAACAAAUUGCAGAAUGAAGUUGAUUGAAGCAGAAGGGAAGCCACAUCUCUGCCUUUUUGCACUGAAGGAAAUUGCGGCAGGAAGUGAAAUUACUUAUGACUAUGGUGGGAAAGAAUGGCCCUGGCGGAAAAAGGUGGGUCAUUUAAAAAAAAUUUUCCCCCUAUGAAUUGUUGUUUAAAACCUACAUAUCUAGAUGUCACAAUUAGGGCUGCAAUUAGGGUCGAUUAAUCGAUUAGAUGUUUCA